UACGUAGGGUCUGAGCGUUGUCCGGAAUUACUGGGCGUAAAGCGCGCGCAGGCGGCCCGCGAGGUGUCACGUGAAAGCCCCGGGCUCAACCCGGGAGGGUCGUGGCAAACCGGCGGGCUUGAGGCCGGUAGAGGUGGGUGGAACUCCUGGUGGAGUGGUGAAAUGCGUAGAGAUCAGGAAGAACACCCGUGGCGAAGGCGGCCCACUGGGCCGGUACUGACGCUGAGGCGCGAAGGCGUGGGGAGCGAACGGG
rnacentral:rRNA from 1 species